rnacentral:rRNA from 1 species
GUCGUAACAAGGUUUCCGUAGGUGAACCUGCGGAAGGAUCAUUAACACCAUGAUACACAACUCAACCAAGCCACAAAGUUGCAGUCUGACUGCAGCCUUAAAACUAACCAAAAGAAACUUAACUAAGACCAAUCCAAAACCAAAUCCCUAACGAUGGAUAUCUAGGUUCCCACAACGAUGAAGAACGCAGCGAAGUGCGAUAAGCAUUGCGAAUUGCAGAACCGUGAGUCAUCAGAUUUUUGAACGCAACUGGCUCCGUAGGUUUUCCCUACGGAAUGCUUCCUUCAGUGUGUUAUUAUCUCAUCACCAAAAGGAUAAUGCGAGAGAUACCCUUCUCUUGUUAAGCUCGAAAGCACUCUGCAGUCGCGGUGGCACCCUCGGGCGCUACACUCAAUGCAGCAGUCACAUUUUACGAUGUGAACUCAUUGAGAGCGAAGGCAGUUCAGCUCGCUGACAGUGCUUAGACAACCAAAUUCUUUCAUCAUCUGAAGUGAAGUAGGACCACCCGCCGAACUUAAGCAUAUCAUUAAGCGGAGGAAAAGAAACUAACUAGGAUUCCGUCAGUAGGGGCGACCGAAGCCGGAAAAGCCCAGAAUGGUAAUCUCCAGUGUUACACUGGCGAAUUGUAGUCUGAAGUGAGUCGACAUAACGUGGUCUGACGCAGAAGUGAUCGUGAGAGAUCCGCCAAAGAGGGUGAGAGCCCCGUCUGUAGUGUCGGACUGUACCGUGUCCUCUUACGAAGAGUCGUGUACUUUGAUACUGGUGCACCAAGCGGGAGAUAAACUUCUUCUAAGGCUAAAUACAUGUGGGAAACCGAUAGCGAACAAGUACUGUGAAGGAAAGAUGAAAAGUACCUUGAAAAGGGGGUCAAAAGACUUGAAAUCGUUGGGGCGGAAGCGGUAGAAAUUUAUUCUUCGCGGAGCACGUUGUGCAAAGUUGAGAGUCAAGGUGGAGUGGAUAGAGAUCAGAGGGCGCGUGUGACCCGUAACCCAGUUGCAGUCGCAUGUGUUCCGGACCUCUGUCGGCUUGAGGGGCUUUUGCGACCUUGGCAAAAUGGUUUUUACCGGCUCGUCUUGAAACACGAACCAAGGAGUCUAAGACUCACGCGAGUAUGGUGGUGGAGAAACCAACAUGCGCAAUGAAAGUAAUUGAUGCCAAGGCAACGGCAGCAUCGACCGACCAUGAUCUAUCAGAGAAAGGUUUGAGUAAGAGCGUGAUUCUUAGGACCCGAAAGAUGGUGAACUAUGCGUGA